rnacentral:rRNA from 1 species
GACGUAGGGCGCAAGCGUUGUCCGGAUUUAUUGGGCGUAAAGAGCUCGUAGGCGGCUUGUUGCGUCGACUGUGAAAACCCGCAGCUUAACUGCGGGCCUGCAGUUGAUACGGGCAGGCUAGAGUUCGGUAGGGGAGACUGGAAUUCCUGGUGUAGCGGUGAAAUGCGCAGAUAUCAGGAGGAACACCAGUGGCGAAGGCAG